rnacentral:rRNA from 1 species
AGUGAACGCUGGCGGUAGGCCUAACACAUGCAAGUCGAACGGCAGCACAGUAAGAGCUUGCUCUUACGGGUGGCGAGUGGCGGACGGGUGAGGAAUACAUCGGAAUCUACUUUUUCGUGGGGGAUAACGUAGGGAAACUUACGCUAAUACCGCAUACGACCUACGGGUGAAAGCAGGGGAUCUUCGGACCUUGCGCGAUUGAAUGAGCCGAUGUCGGAUUAGCUAGUUGGCGGGGUAAAGGCCCACCAAGGCGACGAUCCGUAGCUGGUCUGAGAGGAUGAUCAGCCACACUGGAAAUGAGACACGGUCCAGACUCCGACGGGAGGCGGCAGUGGGGAAUAUUGGACAAUGGGCGCAAGCCUGAUCCAGCCAUACCGCGUGGGUGAAGAAGGCCUUCGGGUUGUAAAGCCCUUUUGUUGGGAAAUAAAAGCAGCAGGUUAAUACCCCGCUGUUCUGACGGUACCCAAAGAAUAAGCACCGGCUAACUUCGU